rnacentral:rRNA from 1 species
UACGUAGGGUGCAAGCGUUGUCCGGAAUUAUUGGGCGUAAAGAGCUCGUAGGCGGUUUAUCGCGUCUGCUGUGAAAAUCCAGGGCUUAACCCUGGACCUGCAGUGGGUACGGGCAGACUAGAGUGCGGUAGGGGAGAUCGGAAUUCCUGGUGUAGCGGUGAAAUGCGCAGAUAUCAGGAGGAACACCGGUGGCGAAGGCGGAUCUCUGGGCCGUAACUGACGCUGAGGAGCGAAAGCAUGGGGAGCGAACAGG